rnacentral:rRNA from 1 species
GACAGAGGGUGCAAACGUUGUUCGGAAUUACUGGGCGUAAAGCGUGUGUAGGCGGCCAUAUAAGUCGGAUGUGAAAGCCCUGGGCUCAACCCAGGAAGUGCACUCGAUACUGUAUGGCUUGAGUACUGGAGAGGUUGGUGGAAUUCCUGGUGUAGCGGUGAAAUGCGCAGAUAUCAGGAGGAACACCGGUGGCGAAGGCGGGUCUCUGGGCCGUAACUGACGCUGAGGAGCGAAAGCGUGGGGAGCGAACAGG